AAUAAAUUAAUUUUUCACUUUUUACCUAUAAUUUUUGACUCUUCGUCUUAUUUAAAUUUUUUUGCGAUUGUUAUUUUUUUUGUUAGAUGAUAAAUUAUGAAUAGUACUUUACAUGUGACUAAUAUUUUUCUAAUUUUUUUAAAAAAAAUUAUAAUAAGACGGAUGGUCAAACGUUGGACAUGAAAACCGGAG
rnacentral:pre_miRNA from 1 species